UACAGCGGGGGCAAGCGUUGUUCGGAAUUACUGGGCGUAAAGGGCGCGUAGGCGGCCUAUUAAGUCGGACGUGAAAUCCCUCGGCUCAACCGGGGAACUGCGUCCGAUACUGGUGGGCUUGAGUUCGGGAGAGGGAUGUGGAAUUCCAGGUGUAGCGGUGAAAUGCGUAGAUAUCUGGAGGAACACCGGUGGCGAAGGCGGCAUCCUGGACCGACACUGACGCUGAGGCGCGAAAGCCAGGGGAGCAAACGGG
rnacentral:rRNA from 1 species